rnacentral:rRNA from 1 species
UACAGAGGGUGCGAGCGUUGUCCGGAAUCACUGGGCGUAAAGAGCGCGCAGGCGGUCGUUCAAGUCGCGUGUGAAAGCCCCCGGCUCAACUGGGGAGGGUCACUCGAUACUGAUCGACUUGAAGGCAGGAGAGGGAAGCGGAAUUCCCGGUGUAGUGGUGAAAUGCGUAGAUAUCGGGAGGAACACCAGUGGCGAAGGCGGCUUCCUGGCCUGUUCUUGACGCUGAGGCGCGAAAGCUAGGGGAGCAAACGGG